CGUCCUUUUCUUCCCGGUUAUGUAAUACACGAGAGUAUUUAACCAUUCGCUGGUUUGACACAUACAUGUCAAACAGAUCAGCUUUGGGGAGGAUCAGCUAGGGCCGCCGAGGGGCAGGGGGGAGUGAGCAGGAAUUUGGCAAUUCACGAGCUAUGAAUGGCCACCCCUCCGGGGAAGGAAUCCCACCAAAGCCUUCAGCGGUCCUCGCCCCAUGAUAGCCGGGCAAGACCUGGAUCGGGUGCUGUACCACCAUUCCUAUCUCAAGCACGAUCGGCCUCACAACACCUGCCUGGCAAAGAACCUUCCCACUCCCGUGGGAUGUCGCAGGCUGCAAAUCAGGGUACGGGCUCACCCCGGCCGCCCGGCCGCCUGCUCGGCUGUCACCCGCGUCCCCAAGGGGGAACUGAAAGACUGUUCUGCCCCCAGAGCAUCGCUGGGAGAGGCGGCAGCUCCACAGAAAAGGGCUUAGUGUCUCCUGUGCUGCUUUGGGACUUUGGCCCCUCACACCCUCUAUAAGCUGAGUUUGCUGAGAAAUGUGUACGGCAGAAGUGUUGGCAUCAAGAUGAGUAAACCCCUGGUUUGUGAGAUGCUACUCUCCCGGCACCUCACUGAAAUUCGGCGUGCUGUCACUGCGGGGGAAAAGAGAAGAGUCAGGGAGGAACGAAGAGUCAUCAGUGAGGACACCAAAACCACCAGCUUCGCCACUUUGAACUACAGAACCAUGCAGAGUUGCAAGGCUCUCCUCUUGUCAACAGACAAUUUUUUAUUAGAAAAAACAAACAGAUGCAUAAAUCCUUCUGGAACUGGCUUAGCUUGCCUUGUGUCUUCACAUAGUGAAAUUUGAUCUUAGCGCAUCAUGCCCAGGGAAGUCCAGGCUUUGGACAGGGCUUGGACACCACCUGGGUGGCUGGAAUGUGUGAAAGGACUCAUGUUCAUCCAUCCCGGGCACUGGGGCCCCACCCGCCUCUGUUGAUGCCUCCUUGCCUGGGUUCCCCUCAGCCAGCGCUGAGUCAGUGAAUCAAUUCCGUGUGUGAAAUUCCAUGGAAUAUCGUGUCCCUUGAUGGAAGCAAAUGGCAAGGCAGCCAAACCAAGGAGAGAAGCAAACUGCCACUCAGAAGAGCGUUCAGACAUUUGACACUCAGUGAAUAGCUGGAGCUUUCCAAAACAAGCACGUCGUACAUCACAAUGAAAUCCUAUAGCAAGAGCCCAUCUUUGCCAAGAUAAAGUUGCAGGCUUUUGUCCCAGCAUACAUAAUUUGUACUUUUAAUACAGCUUUUGUAUAAAUCACAAAUGAUCACACAUCAUCUAUUCCACCAGGUCACCCGAGACACACAGAAAAAAAUACAUGACGGGAGUUAAAUUUUAUCUAUAAAAAAAAGAAAGAGAGGGUUUUCUUUGACUACAUCAUUUUCUCCUAGACAUGCAGGCAUUUUUCCUAAGCUGAAAAUGUUGAAUACGUCAUUGCACAGCAAUCUAUAGGAACUAUAAGGAGUCUAAUAUUCUUGUUCACUACAGGAAAUACUGUUUGUGUAACCAUCAGUUUGUCCUUUAUUGGUCAAGUAUGAUUUAGUUCUCUCAAUGAUAUUAUCUUUAUUACUUGAUCAUUCUUAUACAAGGACCACCUAUUUUUUCUUGCUUUAAAUGUCUACGAAGUACAUAUGAAUGUAUAUACUAUCUAAUACAUCUAAAUGUAUCUACGUAUCUAUAUGGGAAUAUUUUUUAAAAUUCCUCAUUAUCAGCAGUAAAGAAGGGGUUGUUUGUGCUUUUUAAAAAAGGAAUUCUAGGCCAAAUUCAUAUGUAUGAACACGAUCGAGUUAUAUGUGCAAACAGAUGUAAAGGAAUCUGUGGAUGUAAUUUAUUCCAUAGGGCUCCGAGGAAAAGAACAUACAGAUAAGCACACUGUUUUACUUUAUUUUCUAUCCGAAUCUUCAUUUUAUUGUAUUUUAAUUCCAGAGGAUUCAUUUAUAAAAAUAGCUUCCCAAGUGUUGCCAUGAUAGGCCCCGAGGACCUUGCUGUAGAACUACAGUGGAAAGUUGUGGUUCUGUAUUAGCAGAGAUACUUUGACCCAAUUAACCUACAUUUAACCUGAAAUUUCCUUUGGGAACUAGUCCAGUGCAAGGUGUUCAAAGAUGUCAUAAAGAGGGAAAUAUGUAGUGUUGUAUUCCACAACAGUGGAAUUGCUGAAUCCAAUACCCAGAAGUGACCCUGGGAGUUUGGGGGAAAAGGGAGUGAGUUGUCAAUCCUCUGGGUGACAGGAAAAUCUAGUUUAAACAUCUUGUAAAUUUUGGGCCUCUAUUCUGAAAAAACACUUUGGAAAAAAUACUGUUAAUGGAAUGGUAAUAAAAGUUGAUUAAAGCAAUGGAAGAAAAGUUGUUACGCUACUGUUUUUACGUCUGGGUUUGUAUAUAUGUGCUCUAUGUUUUUAUAUGUUCAUUUGUCACUAAAUCAUUAUUUGCAUUUUCACAUCACGAUAAUGUAUCAAAUACAAAACAAUUUAGUACAGCUGUUGAAGAACUGCUACAAUAACUUACAGGAAAAAAAACUGGUUUCACUAAGAAUGUACCUGUAUGUCUCCCCUUACAGACUGACUGAGAAGCAGAACUGAACCAGUACCUUCUCAGUAAGUUUACUCACAUGCUUUUGCUGAUCUAAUUGUUUACUCUUGCACAGAGUAUAAUGUGGCUACUUGAAAGGUAUUUGUAAUAUGCAGCUAAGAUUUAGUUAUCUGAGAAAGCAGGAAGAUUUUGAAAUACAUACUAUACAUCACUGCCAUAGUAAGUCUUGAAGAUCUUGAAGAUCUUGCAAACAACUUGGGGGUUAAUACAGCUGAUGACAUCAUUUGAGAUUUACUGUUCCUGUUUUAUGGAGACAUUUUUGGGGGUAACUGUCUUGUUAAAUCAAUUUUAAGUCGUAUAUACCACAAUGGUAAUUCAUUCCUCAUGGAUUUACUUGUGGCUGCACACACUCCUCAGUGGUGUGAGAGAGGUGGUAACAGGUUUCCAUGAGAUCCCUCCUUCAGGAAUCUCUGGCCAAUACUCAGUGGGAGUUCCAGCAGAAGGCAGUCAAAUGCAAAUCAUUACCGUUAUGCAGAUGAGGAUAUCAUCAUCAUCGUCGUCAUCAUCAUCAUCAUCAUCAUUUUUUAUGAUCAUGCCUUAACCUCUUAGUGCAAAAUGUUGCAAACAUCCAAGCCAGGAGCUACUUAGUCUAAGCAGAAGAUCAGAUCCCUAGAGCCAAGAAAGAAGUACAGGGACUAUGUGCUGCCCUUUGUGACAGGCAGCAUCCCCAGGACACAGCUGGCAUAUUUGCUACUGCUAUUUUGGGAGAAGAAUAGCAAAAUAAGGUUAUAGAGGAACUUUUGAGAGAAACAGUUUGGUGUGUCUGCAGAGGUCAUUGGUGAGUCCUUGCAUGUGGUCAAGGACAGCAUGAGAAAAUAAAAAGCACUGUUGAGAAAAAAUGAGAAAACGAAAUGUGUGGCAGAAGGUGUCUCACAGUCAGGCUGGAGAAAAUCAAAAGCAGAAGGGAAAAAAAAGACAGAAAAGCUGGAACCAAGGGACUCAAUUAAACUGGAGAAAUACCACUAGUGAGGCAGGAGGCAAACACGAGUGGGCUGAGGGAGAAUUGAACCUGGCUGGCAGAGUGAUGGUAAUGAAAAAAUGAUGAGUAAAGAGCAGAGGGAAACAGUGUGAGCAAAGGCUGGGAGUGGCUGGGGGUUGGAGGAGACAGAACCAGGGCAGAGCGGGGAGGAACUGGGGCAAGGUGGGCAGGGAAUUGUGGAGAAAACGAAGUCAGAAGCGAUGGCAUGAGAGUCCUGGCUGCUUGGUACAGCUGGACCAGCAGGUUGAAAAGAGCUGGAAAACACCCACUGAGAUGUUGGGGGUGAGAGCAGGACUCUGGCACAGCAAGAGAAGGGGCCAACACAUGGGCAAAUUGAGGAGGGCAGUGAAUGGGAGAGAAAGAGGAGGGUCAUGUAGGGUCAGUCCAACACAGUACAUCAAGUGAAAGGAUUAGAUCGAGGGGGAUGCUGGGAAAGAAAGUGGCAUUUGAAAUGUGGAAACCCUGAUAGUCCAAAUCAGCACUGAAAUCACAUGGGGAAGAAAAGACAGCAGCUUUUCUCCUUAAGCCUGUUUUCAGCUGGUUCCUUUUCAGCAAAGGUUUGCCAGCUGGGAUUAAGAUGGGAGAGUCAGGACUCAGUUUUUUGACCAGACAUGUGAAUUAAAAGCUCCAGGACUAUUUUAUUUAAUACAGAUGCAACAAGCAUUAAAUGCACUAAAGAACUAAAAUGCACUAAGCACUAAAUGCAAACUAUAGUGACAACAAUGCUGCAAAACUUUCUUGAUAUGACUACAAUUUUCAUAUUGAGACACACACUUGUUGGAAAUAUGACUGUCAGAGGUGAGCCCUAACUGUUAAAGUUAGUAGAGAUUGGUCUGGGAGCUCUAAUGAGAAUUUCACAGACCCUGUUAUUAGUGUGGUGUCCUUAAGAAGGGUAUUGUCCUACAGCUCACAAAUUGCCAGAGCAUGAAACUGUCUCAAUGUUCUUGGGAGAUAUCUCAAAUUAGUGCUCUCAGUAUUCCAAAGGCAUUGGCGUGUCCUAACACAGAUUUCAUAAUGUUCUCUGAAUGUGAGUCAGGAGAGGCAGUGUGAUGGCUGAGCUCCUGAAAGCAAGGGGAUCAGCAGACACUGGGCUAUGAUUGCUCUCAGUUUCAGAAAGCCCUGGGUAACUGGGAAAAUGAGUUUAGAAUUAAAAAGACACAGUGGGAUAAAAUUUCCUCUUUUUUCUUAUUCCAUGUGAACCAAGUAUAAAUGCAAAUCACUCUUUGCUUAUUCUGUCAAGAUGCUCUCAUAUAUUGGCGUAGAAAUAGGAAAAAUGUGUAAAAUAUUAAAGCACUCUCAUUUCUUGGGAAAAAGUAAGCCCCACAGAUUGGAAGAAAGAUACAGAGAGCACAGCGGGUGCCAUCUGGAAUAAGUAAGUAACCCUGGGAAGAAACAGUGAUGUUUACAAGGCCUAAUGCUGAUACAGAGAAUUCUCUCCAUCUGGCAUGAAGCCUGCAAAUAAUCUGCCACAGGAGUGCAUAAUUCAAUAGAAACAGGUUUGAUAAUCUGCAAGUUGCAUUCCCCAUAGAAACCUUGAAAGAGACAUUUACUGUAUUAUGCAGCUGAGCAGCUUCUCUCUGCACCCGACUUCGAGGGCAGGCAGACCCACAGACCAUAAAAAUGGGGUUUAUGGCAAAUGGGAUCCACUGUUCUCUUAGCAGAAAACAAACAUUGCAGGGCACCCACAUCCCCUCAGGAUGGUGUGAAAAUUCUGAGACAAUGCCUUCAUAGGGGAACAUUGCAUUUAUUUUUGAUACAGAUGCAAUAUACUGAAAAUCAUUUAAAUGAAUCUGUUCAGAUGCAGCUGGGACUGUACAAACGCCUGGAGAAAAUGUGUGUAACAGCAGAAAAAAAUAAUCUUAAAAGGCUGUAGGCAGAGCAGCCCUGACAACAGUGAUCGGAGCCAAUGUUAUCACCCCUCUCAUGCAAGCAAAGAUACAGCAAACAACACCUUGUUAAACAAGAGCAAGGAGAUCUAGCUUAACAUCAGUCCCUGUUUAUGUGGGGGAUUUCUGGGCAGGUGGGAAGUGCAUAGCAGGGCGUCUGUAAUUGCUGACUCGCUGUUGAUAAUGCACAUUCUUCCUGGUCCACAUUUAUGUUGUUCACAUUCUCAGCUGAAAAGCUUUGUAGCUGCCUGGGAGGUGUGGGUUGUGAUUUUCUGUGGGGGGAAAAAAAAGAAGAGGGAAAAAAGUGAAAAAAUAGCUUAGAGAAACAUGAUUUUAAAAAAUUAAAAUCAACAAUAUCCAUAUGCAAUUAUAUCAACAACUUAUGUAAAAUUUGUAACUUCAUCAUUAAUAGUAGAAUGCUUCCCAGGGGAUAAGGAUAUUAAUUGCACUUCAAAUUGACACAGAUAUAUUUUUUAAAUAGAAUACAAAAAUAAACAUUCAUAGUGCCUUGUCACAAAGGCACUACUGUUACAUGCUAAAAUGUGCAAAGGCCUGAAUCCAUAUCAAAGUACACUUGGUCCUUUUAAUGCAGAAAUAAGACUUCAUUUCACAAGUAAGUUCCUCUUGAAUGCAUGUAAGAAUGUAAAAUUAAAACAAUUUUACCAUGUAAAAAAUGAAAAUUGUGUUCACUCCUUUAUUAUUAUGUUUGUUUUUUUUCUUCUUGGGUCACUUGUAUUGUUUCAAAUGUUAACUCAACCAUUUUGUUAAACACUGGUGGUUGCAAGGGGAGCUGAAAAGUGUAUUUAUUCUAAUUUGUCAUCCUAUUUAAUUGUAUCAAUAAUAAAGUUAGGUUGUCAAUA